CUUAAAUUCUUAAAUUCUUAAAUUCUUAAAUUCUUAAAUUCUUAAAUUUUUUUAAUUUUUUAAAUUCUUAAAUUCUUAAAUUCUUAAAUUCUUAAAUUCUUAAAUUCUUAAAUUCUUAAAUUCUUAAAUUCUUAAAUUCUUAAAUUCUUAAAUUCUUAAAUUCUUAAAUUCGUAAAUUCUUAAAUUCUUAAAUUCUUAAAUUCUUACAAGGGGAAAACCACUCUGCUCAUUGCCCUCGAGUAGGCUGUGCCCUAAAGUUGCCCAAACGUGCCCGAAGGUGCCCGAAUGUUGCCCAAAUGUGUCCUGAAGCUUCUCAAAAUAAAUAAUUUGUGUACGAUGCUUAGCAACCCUGUUACUUUGUUUACACUUUUUUGGACAGCUGUCGGUUUGUGUUGUGAAUUUUUCUCGGAGAUCAAACAGCUUAUUCCCCGCGAUCCUGAGAUUGUCGCAAGCAUUCCCACAUGAGGAAAUCUCGCGUUGAAGCGUGUCUGUGGUGCCGAUCCUAAUGAAGCGCUGGUGAGAUAUAUUGUAAAGACAACAGGAAUGGCAUGUCAACGACGUGUUGGUGCCGGAGAAACAGGUUUUCCGAAGGGCCAAAACUGGCUGGCGAUCAGCACAUUGGCAUGAUGGCUCACGUUGUAUCCGGAUUAAGUUCCAACACUACCUGAACACACCAAGAUGUUUGCGUCGGAAAGUUUAACACUUCCUGUCAGGAGCUGCGAGCGUUAUUCAUCGCCACUACUCAGUUCAAGGUGGUCCCGGCCUCAACGCAGGUUGCGGUACAAGGACAAGAAGCCGUUUGCCUGGUGCAGUGCAAUUUGUACAUCAAGACAUAUUCAACAAGCUAGUUUUAUUUUUAUUCACACAAAACUAUAUUUAUUUAUAACGACAUUUUUCAAAUAUAAUAAAGAACACAUGAUCAACAAAUUUGCAGAACUUCAUCGCAUCUCAGUGCUGGGAUAUUAAAAUCACAAACUCUUUGUUUGUCUUUUUGGUAUUCCCGUCAAACGGUUUUCCCGGGUGUUGAAUUGUAUCAAAUUUGCUUCCAGCUGAUUCAGCACAACUUCCAGUAUUUCGUCGAGGUCCUUCUUUACUGGCUAUCGAUUUCACUGCAGUGUCGUAGUACUUUAUCCCAGCACGACCGUGGUCUUGACUGAUCGUCGGUCAUUCAAGUGAAACCUUCCGGCAGGACGAUCUGGUCGGGUUUGUUAAUUUGUCGCGCUGUGUAUGUUCACUGCUGCGAAGCAUAUUUAAUUUCUAGUUACUUAAUAAAUAAUACGUCCUAGGUUUUUUAAAUAAAAUGUUGUGCUGCAUAAAACAAUAAUGACCCAGUUCUAGAGGUAAACUUCUUUCAAUUACUUUUUUUGUCAACCAUUUUUUUUUAAAUAUUUUGAAAUAAUUUAAAAAAUAAUAAUACCCAAUUUGAGUAAAUCCACUCAACUGUGUACAAUGUUGCAGAAAAAGUACUGGAACGCGCUACCCAGGCAAAAUUUUUGCCGCUUCUCUCUUUGCAGAACUUCUGCAAAAGAGAGUGAUGAAGAGAGCGGGCUGAAAAGUACGGGAACGUGCUGCAAAAAAGUGACUUAUGCUGGCUGCAGAAUUCUGCAGAAGCUGCAGAAAUUCUGCAAUUCUGCAAGUACGGGAAUAGACCUAAUGCUAUUUCUGAUCUCAUUUCUUGAAAGUCGGCCAAACGCCUUUUUUGUAUUUUAAAUGAUAUUAAAUUUCAUUGAAAAGUUGCAUGCAAAUUCGCAAAACGUAAACAAAAGUAAUCGAUAAUUUUUGUUUUUCUUUUUAUUGUGUUGAGUGAGAUAACCAAACUUAUAAGCACCCUCAGCAAAGGACACUUUAGACAACAAUGUUGUAUGGUUUGACGUUUGCGGGAAACGAUGAAAACAAAUCGACCGAGCCACGUAGCCCAGUGGUAACGCUUCCGUCUCGUAAGCGGUAGAUCGGGGUUCAAAUCCCGGCUCGGACCAACACAACUGGUGAUCCUUUCCCUUCUGGAAUCGAUUGCUUAGUAAAGGGAAGGUAGUGUAUCGUCACAAACUGGACCUUAUCACGACACCUUAGGGAGGCGACCUAUGGAAUGUUAACAUUAACCUUAACAUGUUAACAUUAAGUUGAGAAUGAAACUGCCACUGAAUCCGCUUUGUAAAUGCCGGCCCCGAUACUCUUCAAGGGUGUUCCCCUCAGGAACUGGGAAAGAUUUACUUUUUUUUAUGAAAACAAAUCAAGCAAAACGAUGUAAAUGCGCUUAAAACGAAAGUGUAAACAAAGAGGCUAUCCUGCUCACGUCAGUUGACGUUUACCUUAGGAACGAGCAGGACAGACUCUUUGUUUACCUUUCGACAUUGGCUGAACUACAUUGUUCUGCUAGAAAUAACAGAAAAAAUAUCAUGAAAAUAUCUUUUACUCUUUGAUGUUCUUUUGAGAGUUCGGAAAGUUUGUUGGAGAAGAAUGAUUUUUUUUUAUUACAGCAAAGAGUUUUUUUUAAAUAUCUUAUUCAAUAAAAACUGUUUUUUACUGAUAUAAAAUCUUUAAAAUCAAGACAAAGCUAAAGAAACGUGAAAAUUCUACCCUGGCUGUCCGGAACAACUUAAACCACUUCAAGUUAUAAAGAUCAAACCACUGCCCGUAAGUCGUACACAAAAAAAGAUGGUGAUUGAAGAUUGAAGCGACUUUGACUUUUAUUUGUUAUUCAAAAAAGAAUUUAAAAAUUAACUUUUCACUAAAUUAACAACAUACGUAAUCGCUUCAUGUUGUUUGUAGAUUAUGGAAACAGAGAAUCAAAACUGUUCUGGUUGUUGAAACUUAAAAAUUUGUUGAAUUUAGACAAACUAAAAAAAAAUUGCUUGCGCAAAACGUUACAAAUGUGUAAAAGGAGAUUUAGUGUUGAGUUUGCCGCGUAAAAUUCAUGUUUUACGUUUUUAUUUAUUGCUUACUGAUAAAACUGUGUAAAAAUGUGCCUUAUGUAACAGAAUUACAAACCAACUUUUUUUUUUAUGAAAUGGUAAAUAUUAAUAUUUAAACGAGACACGCGCGCGUUGAGCAGGCAAAUACACAAACAAACAAAAACACAAACACACAGUCAUGGAAGCAACAAAGUGGAUAACGUAAUUUAACUAGAAGCUUAGUAAUUUAACAGUGAAUGUUCGAUUAAAAAAAAAAACAAAGAAAACAAGUGGAGAGGAAAAACACAAAACAGCAAUUUAGUAGAUAGAAUAGAAGCAAAUUUACUGUACAGAAGCAAAAUAUAUCCCAACACGUAUAGGAAGAAAGAAAGUGCUAAUCGCCAAGUUUAGUGAGUAGUGCAAGAAAAAAUGCGUCAUAUUAUGAGAACUGUAAAAAUAGUAUUUUUAAACCGAAACGGGACAAGCUGCAGGCAAAGGAUGCAGCGAAGGGGGUCCAACAGAACCCACGACUUUUGUAAUAUAUUAGAAAGAUGAAUUUAGAAGCAAGUCGGAGGGAUUUUAGCAAGCCAAUUUAGAAAAGAAACAAACUAACAAAAAAAUGGAAAUCAAAACUGCAAACAAUCUGCGCAAAAAGCUUAAUUAUACAUAUAUUUUUAAGAGUUGCACGUAAGGGUGGGAAAGAGUGAGUGAAAGAGAGAAAGAGAGAAUCAGUAGCGAUAAAUAUAUGAUUGCCAAUAAAUCGUGGUUAGCGUCACACACAAAAACAACAAAAAUCGUAAACUGUAGAGAGAGAAACUUUUAGACACGGGCAAACGUUUUGAAUAUUACAUUUGUUAUUUAAUUUUUAUAUUUGUAGCUAUUACUAUAUAUUUACAUAGAUUUUAUAAAAAAAAUAUCUAAUAAACGGAAAAGAUCUGAGAA